rnacentral:rRNA from 1 species
AUGCACGCUGGCGGCGUGCCUAAUACAUGCAAGUCGCGCGCACAGACGAGGAGCUUGCUCCUCUGACGUUAGCGGCGGACGGGUGAGUAACACGUGGAUAACCUACCUAUAAGACUGGGAUAACUUCGGGAAACCGGAGCUAAUACCGGAUAAUAUAUUGAACCGCAUGGUUCAAUAGUGAAAGACGGUUUUGCUGUCACUUAUAGAUGGAUCCGCGCCGCAUUAGCUAGUUGGUAAGGUAACGGCUUACCAAGGCGACGAUGCGUAGCCGACCUGAGAGGGUGAUCGGCCACACUGGAACUGAGACACGGUCCAGACUCCUACGGGAGGCAGCAGUAGGGAAUCUGCCGCAAUGGGCGAAAGCCUGACGGAGCAACGCCGCGUGAGUGAUGAAGGUCUUCGGAUCGUAAAACUCUGUUAUUAGGGAAGAACAAAUGUGUAAGUAACUAUGCACGUCUUGACGGUACCUAAUCAGAAAACCACGGCUAACUACGU